rnacentral:rRNA from 1 species
GAUGAACGCUGGCGGCGUGCCUAAUACAUGCAAGUCGAGCGAAUGGAUUAAGAGCUUGCUCUUAUGAAGUUAGCGGCGGACGGGUGAGUAACACGUGGGUAACCUGCCCAUAAGACUGGGAUAACUCCGGGAAACCGGGGCUAAUACCGGAUAACAUUUUGAACCGCAUGGAUCGAAAUUGAAAGGCGGCUUCGGCUGUCACUUAUGGAUGGACCCGCGUCGCAUUAGCUAGUUGGUGAGGUAACGGGUCACCAAGGCAACGAUGCGUAGCCGACCUGAGAGGGUGAUCGGCCACACUGGGACUGCGACACGGCCCAGACUCCUACGGGAGGCAGCAGUAGGGAAUCUUCCGCAAUGGACGAAAGUCUGACGGAGCAACGCCGCGUGAGUGAUGAAGGCUUUCGGGUCGUAAAACUCUGUUGUUAGGGAAGAACAAGUGCUAGUUGAAUAAGCUGGCACCUUGACGGUACCUAACCAGAAAGCCACGGCUAACUACGUGCCAGCCGCCGCGGUAA